rnacentral:rRNA from 1 species
AGUGAACGCUGGCGGUAGGCCUAACACAUGCAAGUCGAACGGCAGCACAGUAAGAGCUUGCUCUUACGGGUGGCGAGUGGCGGACGGGUGAGUAAUACAUCGGAAUCUACUUUUUCGUGGGGGAUAACGUAGGGAAACUUACGCUAAUACCGCAUACGACCUAUGGGUGAAAGCAGGGGAUCUUCGGACCUUGCGCGAUUGAAUGAGCCGAUGUCGGAUUAGCUAGUUGGCGGGGUAAAGGCCCACCAAGGCGACGAUCCGUAGCUGGUCUGAGAGGAUGAUCAGCCACACUGGAACUGAGACACGGUCCAGACUCCUACGGGAGGCAGCAGUGGGGAAUAUUGGACAAUGGGCGCAAGCCUGAUCCAGCCAUACCGCGUGGGUGAAGAAGGCCUUCGGGUUGUAAAGCCCUUUUGUUGGGAAAGAAAAGCAGCAGGUUAAUACCCCGCUGUUCUGACGGUACCCAAAGAAUAAGCACCGGCUAACUUCGUG